GGCCAUUUAAGUGUAUAUAAGUGGGUGCAAACCUCACCCUACAAGCCGGUUUUGUGGGGUUGAGUUAGGCUUAAAGUCCACUUCUAACAUGGUAUCAGAGCCAUGACUGGAACCCAUCCUAGCGAUUUCUGUUGUCGUUGGGCAUAUUGAUCCACCCGCUAUCGGGCCGCUAUCGGAUCACCCAUUAAAAAGUCUAAUCCCA
rnacentral:lncRNA from 1 species